rnacentral:rRNA from 1 species
AUUGAACGCUGGCGGCAGGCCUAACACAUGCAAGUCGAGCGGUAACACAAGGGAGCUUGCUCCUGAGGUGACGAGCGGCGGACGGGUGAGUAAUGCCUAGGUAUCUGCCCAGUCGAGGGGGAUAACAGUUGGAAACGACUGCUAAUACCGCAUACGCCCUACGGGGGAAAGGAGGGGACCUUCGGGCCUUCCGCGAUUGGAUGAACCUAGGUGGGAUUAGCUAGUUGGUGAGGUAAUGGCUCACCAAGGCGACGAUCCCUAGCUGGUCUGAGAGGAUGAUCAGCCACACUGGAACUGAGACACGGUCCAGACUCCUACGGGAGGCAGCAGUGGGGAAUAUUGCACAAUGGGCGAAAGCCUGAUGCAGCCAUGCCGCGUGUGUGAAGAAGGCCUUCGGGUUGUAAAGCACUUUCAGCGAGGAGGAAAGGUUAGUGAUUAAUACUCACUAGCUGUGACGUUACUCGCAGAAGAAGCACCGGCUAACUUCGUGCCAGCAGCCGCGGUAAUACGAGGGGUGCAAGCGUUAAUCGGAAUUACUGGGCGUAAAGCGUACGCAGGCGGUUUGUUAAGCGAGAUGUGAAAGCCCCGGGCUCAACCUGGGAACUGCAUUUCGAACUGGCAAACUAGAGUCUUGUAGAGGGGGGUAGAAUUUCAGGUGUAGCGGUGAAAUGCGUAGAGAUCUGAAGGAAUACCGGUGGCGAAGGCGGCCCCCUGGACAAAGACUGACGCUCAGGUACGAAAGCGUGGGAGCA